rnacentral:tRNA from 1 species
GGGGAAGUAGCUCAGUGGGAGAGCACAGCGUUCGCAAUGCUGGGGUCGAGGGUUCAAAUCCCUUCUUCUCCACCA